GUGGUACUCCCUCCGUUCGGAAUUACUUGUCGCGAAAAUGAAUGUAUCUAGACGUAUUUUAGUUCUAGAUACAUCCAUUUCCAAGAUAAGUAAUUCCGAACGGAGGGAGUAUGUG
rnacentral:pre_miRNA from 1 species